GAGAGGGGGGUCAGUCCCUUGGGGACCAAGCCCUUUGCUCCUGGCUGGCUGCCCUCGCCUCUUCAGCCACGGGCCCCGAGGGUGCCGAAGCCCUGGGAUGGGUCCAGUGCGUGUUCCUCGUCUCCUCACUGCCUGCCUCUCAGUUGGGUUCUUGUAAAGUAUCUUUUUGUUCAGCCUCAGGGAAAAGGGGAGAGUUUGGGCUUGAGAAGAUGGACCAGUGACUCGACAUGACACUUCUGUUUUGCUGUGUGUGCAAAAGACCGAGAGGGGAAGAAUAAAGGGAAGACGGAGUCAGGGCAGAAAGGAGGGAAGCAGGACAAGCAGCUACCACCCCCACCGUGCCAUCACUUCCUGUCUGAUGCCCCUCUCCAAAGCCGCAGGUGCCACUGCAGACUGCACCUCCAGCUCCCAGAAUUCCUGGGGGCCCACCUGGGCUGACCCCCCGGGAAGUGCAGUGAGUGCACGGUCACUUAUCUCUGCUACAACCUGAGUCAACAGUGGAACCAGGAAGUGGACGCAGGGUCCAGCAUCGCAUGGAAAUGUCUGCAGGAAUUCACCUGUGCGAGGUAGAAGAUAUGAUCCCAUCCUCUGUGCCUUCCCACCCCUGGCUACGUGGUGGAUGGAGCU